rnacentral:rRNA from 1 species
UUCAAGUGAAGAGUUUGAUCCUGGCUCAGAUUGAACGCUGGCGGCGUGCCUAACACAUGCAAGUCGAGCGGUAACAGGUGUAGCAAUACAUGCUGACGAGCGGCGAACGGGUGAGUAAUGCUUCGGAAUCUGCCCAAUGGUGGGGAAUAACCAGCCGAAAGGUUGGCUAAUACCGCAUAAGUCCUACGGGAGAAAGCAGGGGAUCGCAAGACCUUGCGCCGAUGGAUGAGCCGAAGCCGGAUUAGCUAGUUGGUAGGGUAACGGCCUACCAAGGCGACGAUCCGUAGCUG